UAGGAAAGUCCAAUACUUAUUAGGCAUAUACACUUGAAUAUAUUUAUUCAAUAAUUAUAAAAAUAUAAGGAUAUUAACAGAAACUAAAAUUAUUAUAAAAUACUAAAUAGUAAUAAUAAAAUAAUAGCGAACAAGAAUCCUAUGUUAAGUUUUUAUUUAGAAUUAUUAAAAUUAAACAGAAACUGGCUUAA